CACGUAGGGCGCAAGCGUUGUCCGGAAUUAUUGGGCGUAAAGAGCUCGUAGGCGGUCUGUUACGUCUGCUGUGAAAAUCCGGGGCUUAACCCUGGGCUUGCAGUGGAUACGGGUAGACUAGAGGCAGGUAGGGGAGAAUGGAAUUCCCGGUGUAGCGGUGAAAUGCGCAGAUAUCGGGAGGAACACCGGUGGCGAAAGCGGCUCACUGGACCCGAUCUGACACUGAGGUGCGAAAGCUAGGGUAGCAAACGGG
rnacentral:rRNA from 1 species